rnacentral:misc_RNA from 1 species
GAUUUCCCCACUGUACAUGAAGUCGAGCACAAUUUUCAAUGCUUCUGGUGAGACAACACUUGAAGAGACCUUUGAGGACUUACUCUCACUUAUUCCAUUUGUGAAACAUCUCCAGCGGUCUCUUUUUCAAUUCCAGCGUACAAUUUCAUCACAAUUAUGGCAACCGCUACAAAAGUGCAAGCUAACGUUUGUAACAAAAAUGGAAGUUGAAUGCAGUAACUUGAUCAUUGUAGGCAUUGUCAAAAACAUUUGUGAUGUGACUUCUCAAUUGACAAAGAACAUAUUUUCUUCCUCUGCCUCCUUGAUACCUCCCAUUUAACUUGCAUGAGAAUUGGAAAAUCACAAGAACUGAACUCACAAUAGUGGCCCCAAAAAUACUGUAACUUGCUUACAACUCUUUUAUUUUUCUCUUUUUCAAGAACAUCUCCCAGAAUCUCAGCAACAAAAGAUUGAGUUUUGGAAAAUAAUUUUGCAUACCCAGAAUUUUUUAAUGACACCACAAAUUCUUUUUCUGAAACUUCAAUAGAUUCAAAGGCAAGAAUUAUACCACGGUCACCUGAAUUUGAGGGUUUUGAUUUGGCGUCGGCAUUUUCCAUUUUCCAGAAAAAGCAAGACACUCACCACCCUUCAACUUUGGCUCAAGGUUGCUUGCUUUCUGACAAUAACGAAUUGUGAAUCUUCAAUCAGUGCUUUUGAUUGAACAUUGCUACUGGAAAACAAUUAUGGAACCAUUUUCUUUAAAGCCCUGAUGAAUCAUUGCUUUUUGAAUUUGGGAUUUCAGCUCCACUUCUUGAGAUUGAUCUUUGGGUCGUGCAACUUAAAUCAAAUCCACUUCCCCCGGUCAUUAGAUCCUGCCAGAGAUUGAAAAGUGCCCCUGCCAUGCAACUUUCCUUUCACCAUUGAUUACACCUUUGGACAUCAGUGAUCACAUAUCUUUAAGAAUGGCAUUCCUUUCCAAAGCUGACUGCUUAAUCUUUUCUCAGAUGCCCUUAAUUUCCUCGGAACACUUUCUUGAAUCUUCUUAGAGAAUCUUUACUGUUUUGCCAAAUCCGUCAAUCUCACAGUAACCGCAGAUCCUGACAUUAUUGCAAUCCCAAAUUGCUGAUACCAAGAGUACAAUCUGUCAAUGUACAUCCUAGGAAUGGGCUGGCUAUCCAGGCUAUCAUGUGGAUGAUGGGAAUCAAUUUUCCUUUUUUUUUUUUUUUAUCUCCAGGCAUGGGCCUCACAAAGUCAUCCAAGUGUCAAAUACCAGCAUCAUGUUGAUCAUGAAUAUAGUGAUAUGCUGUAGGUGGAUUUCUUUUAGCGCCAAACAAGCACCUACAACAAGAUUCAAAAUUGACAACAAAGGAAAAUUACAAACCAUUAUAAACAUGGCCAAUUGAACAAAAUCAGAAAGCAGUAAUCAAAUUUUAUUUUUAACACAACAGCCUAGAAGCAUGAAUAUGUAGGCACACAUAAAUAAACAUGGCAAAGAUUUAAGAAGGGUGCAUGCCAUUCAGCGCAGGCUGAUGGCAAAAGGAUUUGAAACCCAUUAAAACACAAUUUCUGGAACGAGCCUAAUUUCCCAACCAACCUCCAUAGAAAUGCAUAGCAAUUGGACUUCAACAGAAAAAAAUUUAACUUCUGCCAUACAAUUCUCGUUUUAAAAGGCAGCCUCCACAACCAGUGGGGUUUCAUAAGAGAAUUUGUCUCCUACCUUUUGAAUUCAAUUGCAAAUCAGGCAUGAUACACUAUUUCCACAAGAUAUUGCCAUAUAUAACAUGCGUCCUCUUAACCUGGGAAAAAGGGACUAUUUUGAUUAACACCACAUGUAGCUUUGAAGGUUAUCAACAUUUCAGGAGCAUAUGCAAUUAAUGCAAACAAGAAAAGUAAAAUGGCACUGGGUUAAUGAUGCAGUUAUAAGACAGGUAAAAAGUUCUUACACAAAAAUUAACUCAAUUUGACAAUCCCACAAUUUGAACUCAAUCAUCGCAGUCUUUCACUUCCAAAUAUAUGAAAUAUAAGUCAGUAAGCCCUCCAGAGCAAUCACACCAGUACAUGCAGAGACAGCUAAAGUCAAGAUGAAACAGAUUGAUUGUCCUGCACCGUUGAGUCUAAGUUCAACAGCAUAUUUAUGAUUUAUGCAAACAAGAGCCAAACCUAUAUGUAAAUUUCAUGCAUAUUACCUGGGCUUCUCAAGGGGAUGGCUGAAAUCAAAAUAAUUUAGACUAAACUGAACAAACUUUGAAACAAGUACUUAGUUAACUGAGCAUUCAUCAACAUACAGCUUCAGACAUAAUACAUGAAUCCAGGUCCUGCAUUUCUUUGCCAUUUGAGAACACCUCUAACUCCAUUAAUUUAUGAGAAAAUACACUGGAGGAGUGAAAGGUCACUUGCAUCAUAUUGUGAAGCUUGGAUAUCUUCUUCACAUCUCCACAUUUAAUACAACCCUCAACUAACUUGAAAAAAGUCACAGGAUUUUGAUCCACAAAUACCUCUGUCAUUUCAUCUAAAAGCUCAAUAGAUUUUUCCACAUCACCUUGCUUACAGAAACCAUUAAUCAAGGCAGAAUAGGUAAUCAUGGUAGGAGAAAUCCCUUCUUUUAACAUCUUUUCUCUCAAAUCCAAGGCUUCUCUAGUGUUACCAUUUUUACAGUAUGCAUCAAUCAGUACAUUGUAAGUAACAACAUUUGGAGUUAAUCCCUUGGAGUGAAGUUUAUUGAAAAGCCUCCGUGCUCGAUCUAGAUUACCUGAUUUACACAGGCCAUUCAUUAGAGCAUUGUACGUAACUAUGUUUGGAGUAAGACCCCUUUUCAUCAUCUCAUCCCUUAAGAUGAAAGCUUCAUUCACAUUACCAGAAGCUGAAAAGCCAUGAAUCAGGGUGCAGUAUGUGAAAUUAUCUGGAUUGAAGCCUCUUAGCAACAAGCCUGAGAAAAAUUUUCUUGCAUCAUCAACCUUUCCAGACUUGCAAAGCCCUGCAAUAGCUAUAUUGUACACCACCCUGUUGGGUAGAGAAAAACUUUUAGCACUUUCAUCAAGAGUAUCUGCAAUUUUCUGACUGUCCAGAUAUCGUUCAUCUGCCUUCUGGAACCUGUCAAAACUUCCAUGGUCUAGAAAAACAUCAAAAUCCACCAUCUUCUGCAAUAGCAUAUUUGCUUCAUCAAUUCUUCCAAGUCGAUAGAGGCUACUGACAAUUUUGCUGCAAAUAAUUACAUUGGGAGCAAACCCCUUUUCAAUCAUAUCAAAAUAGGCACUAAAAGCCUUAUCCAACCUGUCUUCAUCACACCAUCCAGCAAUAAGGGCUCCAUAAGUGACAACAUUAGGAGACAAUCCCUUAAUGCACAUCUCAGAAAGAAGAGCCAUCACUUUACUUGUUUUCCUGGACUUAAAAAGUCCACAAAUAAGAGAAUUAUACAAUUCAAUGGAAGGAGAAAUUGCUUCUUUUUCCAUAUUCUCUUUAACUUUAAAAGCUUCUUCAACAUUUCCAAGUCUACAAUACCCAUCACUCAGAGUUCUAUAUGUUAUUGCAUCAGCCUUACAACCCAAUUCCUUCAUCCUCUUAAAAGUCUCCUCUGCUUCAGCAAUUUUCUCCAUCUUACACAACCCAUUAAUCAUUGUAUUGAAAGCGUAUGUACUUCUUCCAAAACCCCUUGCUAGAAUAUCAUUCCACAGGGCCAAAGCCCUUGAAAAAUCUCCCAUUUUGAAGAGUCCAUCAAGCAAAGUACAAUAGCUGACCUCAUUAGGAGCCACACCUCUCUUUAACAUCAAAUGCCAAAGGUGCAAAGCAUCCUCAAAGGCACUCACACGACAUAAGCCCUUGAUAAGAGUAUUAUAGGUAACAACAUUUGGUUCAAUUCCCUCUUGAAGCAUUACAUUGCAAACGCUGAAAGCCUUACUAGUAAGACCUUCUCUACAGUAUCCAUCCACAAGUGUACUAUAACUAUAAGAAUCUGGCUUUAAGUCCCAGAUCCCCAUACCUGUUACCAACCUCUCUGCCUCACAAACUUGACCAUUUUUACAAUACCCAUUUAUCAAUGAGUUGCAAAUAAAUAAAUUCAUUUUCAAUCCUAUGUUUAACAUCUCAUCUCGAACCCUAAUAGCAUCUUCCAUUUUACUAACUCGACAGUACCCAUCUAUCAACAAACCAUAAGCAUAUUCAUCCAAGACCACACCCUCCUCUUUCUCCAUCUCUCGAAGCACCUUCUCUGCUUCCUCCAACUUACGUUGUCUACAAUAACCUUUAAUCAAUAAGGUAAAAGUGACCUUGUUCCUCAGAAUCCCUCUUUCACCCAUCAAUCUCAAAACCUUUUUGGCUUGUUCCAUAUCUCCGAGACUAACACACCCAUCAAUCAAGCCAUUGUAAGUCACCACAUUCAAUUCAAAUCCUAAAUUCUCCAUUUCCUUGACAAACUCCAUAGCUCUACCGACCCUUCCCUCCUUACAGUAUGCGUUAACCAUAAUAGAAGAAGUAAAAACAUCGGGCACGAUCCCUAACCUAUCCGCUUGGUCAUAAACAAGCAGUGCAGUGUAACUUUCACCUUUUCGAACCAAACUACUCAACAAACUAUUACAAGAUCGCAAGCUCGGUACGAGACCGCACUUUCCCAUAUUAUCAAACACAUGGAGUGCAUACUUUGUCAUUCCCUUCUCGGCAUAUACUUUCAAUAGCAUAUCAAAAACCGUAGGGGAAAAUGCAAACUCCUUGUAAAACCUAACAAGCUCAUCCCAAACAAUAAACGAAGAGUAGUUAUUCUUGCAAAGACGGACCAAUUCAUUUAAAUAGGAUCUGGUCUCAUCGUACAUUCGAACUCGAGACAAAAUGUGAACAAGUUUACAGUAGGACUUUAUACUUGGUCUAAAAUUGGAUUGCUUCGAGGCCAAUUUGAAGAAAGUCAAGCAGGCAUUAGGGUUUAGUUUGAGUUUGAGAAGAACAGAAUCGAGGAGAUCAUCGGAGAAAUCGAAAUUAAGAUUCUUGAGGGCAUGGUGGCGACCAAGGAUAAGAAGGCGGGAGAUCCGGUCGAGGAGUUCGGGGCGGGUAAGCUUGGAUUCGUGGCGGGGCUUCCAGUGGAGUGAUUUGUGUGGGCGGAGUUGAGAGAGGAGGAGAGAAGGAUAGGGGAUUGGAAAGUACCUGUGCAUUGAGGGAGAUUCGACGGCCGACCAUCAUAACAUCGGGGAAUUUUGGGCAUCUACUUUCAAAUUGUAGAUUGCAUUUUUUCAAGAGCUCGAGGAUUUGAGAAAAG